CCUCCCCGCACCGCGCGGGUCCGGAACACCGCCCUCGGCAAACCUCGGCUGGCUCCGGCCUUUCUCCUCCUCUGAGGCCUGGAUCUUCUCUUCGCGACCAGUCUGCCCUUUCCUUCUUUUCCUCACUCGCGAGUCGGCCACCGCCGUUCCCGUUUAGGGAUAGUCUCGCUCGGGCGCCUGCUCGAGGCUGAUCUCAGGGGCUCCGGGCUGCGCAGGGAGGGAGCCGCCUUCCGGAAGAGGACGGUGGGGCGCGAGGGAAGCCAUCGCGGACUAAAUAAGGGAGGCUGCAGCGGCUGCGCGUGCGCCCAGAGGCGCAGCGGGAGGGGGUGCUCUCGGGCGAGCUCUCCGGCCGCGGCCCCCGCCCCUGCGCUGUCGGGCGGGGAGGUCGGAAACCCCCUGGCGAGACCACGGGCGGACGCUUCCCGAAGAGCUGCCUGGGCUGCAGCCGCGGAAGCUGCGUUCUGGGGAGCGGGGAGCGUGCUCCGGCGCCUUCGGGCCGCUGCUGGAAGCCGGAACCGAGCCCGGGCCGCUGCCCCUCACCGGACGCCGCGCGCCACCGGCCCUCCGCGGGGCAGGGGCUGCUGCGAGCUCGCCGGGCGCCCUUUAGACAGUCGUCCUUGUCUACUCCACUACCAAAUGUUGAAGUUCUUCAAGAAUCAGUCCUUUGGAGGUGAUGUCAUUGAAAAUGAUGAGUAGGAAACUCCAAGAGCGCAUUUCUCCACAAAACCAGUGAAUACAUUGGCACAAAUUGUCAGAAUCAAUUUUAUAUAAAUUCUGGAAAUUAGUCAAAGGUUUAUAGUAACCAAGGAAACAUCUUUUUAAAAAGAUGGCUGAGGCUGGAUGCUGUGGCUUAUACCUGUAAUCCCAGCACUUUGAGAGGCCAAGGCGAGCAGAGCAUUUGAGUCAGGAGUUAGAGACCAGCAAAAAAAUUAGCUGGGUGUGUUUGCGGGCACCUGUAAUCCCUCAGGGAGGCUGAGGCAGGAGAAUCGCUUGAACCUGGAAGAUGGAGGUUGCAGUGAGCCAAGAUCGUGCCACCUCACUCCAGCCUGGGUGAUAGAGUGAGACUCUGUCUCAAAAAAAAAAAAAAAAAAAAGUCUGAAUCCUGAAUCUCAGGAGCGCUUUCUAUCAUUUAAACUUACCCUGGUGCCACCUCCCUGUCCAGCUUUGAAAACAACGACAUGCAUUUCUGAUAUCUGUUCCUGGUGCCAAAGGGAGCAGGAUGGCCUUGUUUUCUUUUCUUCUUUCUUUUUUUUUUUUGAGAUGGAGUUUUGCCCGUGUUGCCCAGGCUGGAGUGCAGUGGCGCAAUCUCGGCUCACAGCAACCUCCGCCUCCCGGCUUCAAGCGAUUCUCCUGCCUCAACCUCCCGAGUAGCUGGGAUUACAGGCACUUGCCACCAUGCCUGACCAAUUUUUGUAUUUUUAGUUGAGACGGGAUUUUGCCAUGUUGGCUAGGCUGGUCUCGAACUCCUGACCUCAGGUGAUCCGCCCACCUCAGCCUCCCAAAGUGCUGGGAUUACAGGCAUGAGCCACUGUGCCUGGCCGUGGACCUUCUUUUCAAAGAAUUAUGGAGGCUUAUUUUAGUUCCCCUAACUUGGAAAUCUCCUGAGGAAGAAAGGUGACUACAGGCAUUUGUCAAAAAUUUGUAAAGGCAAGUUUAUUAGCCUCUGCCAUCGGGGGCAAAGAAUAAUAGCUAAGGCAAACAAUAGACACACCAAAAAGCCUGGGAGGAAAAGCUGGAAAGUAAGAUAUUUUGGAGAAUAAAGGCUUUUAAAACUUCCACAUAUUCUUGGGAAUCCAAAAGGCCACAUGUACAUGCAGGGUGAGCAAAUAGAGAAGACUUGAGAAAGCCUUAAACUCUCACCUCUGGCUAACCAUCAGGCUUGCUCAAAUAGGAAGUGAAAACUAAGGUGAAUUUGUUGCUUAGCUGAAUGUUGAAGGUGUGCCCCAACACUUACACAGAGCCUACUGGUAAAGACUGAGAGUGUUUUCUUUUUGUCUUGGUUUCAGGCAUUUAAGGAAAUCUGUUUCUCUUUUGGAUCACUAGCUGCAAAUUAAGCUAACAGAACAGGAGCUCAGCUGGUCACACACAGCAACGAAUACAGACUUUAUAAAGUUCAGAAAAGUUACCAAACAGUGGUAACCAUAACAAGUACCAACAAUGAACUAUGGGGAGGGAGGAGAAUCUGAUUUCCAGAGUUACCACAUUAUAAUACUAUUCAAAAUGUCACAUUUUUAGCAAAGAUUACAUGACAAGGAAAAACCAGAAAAGUAUGGCCCAUACACAGGUAAAAAAAGAAAUUAAUAGAAACUACCCCUGAAGAAGCACAGACUUCGGAUGUACAAAACAAAGACUUUUCAUCAACUCUUUUAGAUAUGCUAGAAGAGCUAAAGGAAACCAUGGACAGAGAACAAAAAAAUUAGGAAAGCAAUGUCUCAUCCAAUACAGAAUAUCAAUAAAGAGAUUGAAAUUGUAGAAAAGAACCAAAUAGAAAUUCUGGAGUUGAAAAGUAUUAUAACUAAAACUGAAAAUUCACUAGAGGUAUUCAGCAGCAGACUGGAGAAGUCAGAAGAAAGAAUCAACAGGCUUCAAGAUAGGUCAAUUAAGAUUAUACAGUCUGAGGAGCAGAAAGGAAAAAGAAUGAAGAAAAAUGAACAGAGCAUAAAAGACCUCUGGGACUCUAUCAAGCAUACCAGUAUAUGCAUGAGGGGAGUCCCAGAAGGAGAAGAAAGAGAGAAAGGGACAUAAUAUUUGAAGAAAUAAUGGUAGAAAAUGUCCCAGCUUUGAUGAAAUACAUGAAUCUAGAUAUUCAAGAGGCUCAAAGAACCCUAAAUAGGGUAAACUCAAAAAGACCCACACCGGAAUGCAAAAGUGAGCUGGGUGUGGUGGCACGUGCCUGUGGUCCCAGCUACUCGAGAGGCUAAGGCAGGAAAAUCGCUUGAACCCAGGAGGCAGAGAUUGCGGUGAGCCGGGAUUGCGCCAGUGCACUCCAGCUGGGCGACAGAGCGAGAUUCCAUCUCGAAAAAAAAAAAAAAAAAAAAAAAAAACUAUUGCUGCAGUCAUUCAGAUGGAAAUGGGGAAAGAAUAAUAUUAACUGAUUUCAAAAAGGACUUGAAGAUGUGAAUCAUCUAUUUUGCUGAAGAAAUCUUAACUCUUUGAAAUUACUUUUUGUUGCUGUUGUCAUACUCUUAGGUGCCAAACUGCGGUAAAUUUUUUAUCAGUGAAGUGGAAGCAUGUGUUUUGUUGUUUUGGGAAUUUUUAUCAAGUAUCUUCAGAGAAGAUUAUUUCCUGCUUUAUCUUCAAAAACUGGAAAGGAAGGGUCAAAGAAAAGACAGUAGCUGGCCGGUCAUGGUGGCUCAUGCCUGUAAUCCCAACACUUUGGGAGGCUGAGGUGGGCAGAUCACCUGAGGUUGGGAGUUCGAGGCCAGCCUGACCAACGUGGAGAAAUGCCAUCUCUACUAAAGAUGCAAGGAUUGGCCGGGCGUGGUGGUGCGUGCCUGUGAUCCCAGCUGCUCAGGAGGCUGAGGCAGGAGAAUCGCUUGGACCUGGGAGGUGGAGGUUGCGGUGAGCUGAGAUCACGCCAUUGCACUCCAGCCUGGGCAACAAGCGAAACUCUGUCUCAAAAAAAAAGAAAAGACAGUAGCUUAUGUUCAUGUCAAGCACCUCUCAUCACAGUCUAGUUCCAAGGAAAAAAUUCCCAGCGUUUUCUACAUUCGGUGCUGCGUCAUCUGAAAUCGGCACAUUCCAUGGAGGAAGGAGUCCUGCUUUGUUGCAUGUAUCCUAGGGUUUAAUGUUGGUAAAUGAGUCACUCUAGCAUUUGUAGAAGGCUCCCUGAGACUCCUGCAGCAGUCGACCAAGCCCAAGGACAUAAUUGAAUCUGGAGAGUCCUGGGGCCUUGUUUUGAAAAAGACUUGAAAUACACAUAGGAAGAAAGGCAUAAAAAUAAAUGUUCACUUGUCUCUGCUGUGAGUAUGUGUUCCAACUUUUCAGUGAUGGCUUUGAGAAUUCUCAAACUUGACUGGCUCUAAGUGUAUCUGGUGGCUUUUGUAUCGUAACCUGAAACUGGCUUAGUACUUUUUCCUAAAAGCUCAGGAUUUGAGAAUGAGGACCCCUUCGCCAGGAAAACAUGUAUACACUCAAAAUUUUGCUUGCAGUUCUAGGGUGUUUAGACCUUUCUCAGAUACCUGUGCAUCUUAUGGGUUUUGUUUUUCUCUUUGAGACAGUCUCACCCUGUUGCCCAGGCUGGAGUGCAGUGGCAUGGUCUCAGCUCAUUGCAGCCUCCGCCUCCUGGGUUCAGGUGGUUCUGCCUCAGCCCCUUGAU
rnacentral:lncRNA from 1 species